rnacentral:lncRNA from 1 species
AUUAGCCAAAGUUGUUAUAAGUUAUACCCCGUUCGCACUACCUUAAGUUAAGAACAUUUAAGUUAAACCCGUUUAAGGUAAAGACGUUUGUUAUAGGAGGCGUUCGCACUCAACAGUCACUAAUGAUCUUUAGUCUGGAAUAACGUCAUUUCCUCUGACGUUAACAAAAACUGUUUGUUAUAAAUCAUAGUUUCGAGAUGGCUACAUCAACAAAGUUAGCUCUCCUAAUAAACAACUUAAUCGAUAGUGAAUACAAUGAAGAAAUAUUUAAUUUAAUAAGGAAAAUAAAAAUUAAAAGACGAAAAGCAAAAACAUUGAGAAUGUUACUUUAUUCAUUUGUAAAGAGCAACAAAACAAUUCGAUAUUGGAAUUUACCCAAGUCUCAAGAUCUUUCAUAUACUUUUCUAUUCCUUUUCUGACUUCUUAAGUCAUCUAAAUUGCUUUGCCACAAUUGAAUUAGUAUUCUUACUUCACCUUCAUCCCAAUUUCGUCUUGUUACAUCCGCCAUUUUAUUUUUAAAAAAGCGCCCCCUGCCUGAUUCUAAAGUUUUGACGUCACUAA